GGUUGUGUGGGGUAGUGGUUAUCCCUUCGGAUUUUGAGUACUUUCUUGUGCUUCGGAAGUUCCGACAACCCCGGUUCGAACCCGGGCACGACCU
rnacentral:tRNA from 2 species